ensembl:lncRNA
GCUGAAAUAUACCUUGUACACCUACAUCUGCUGCAUGGCACAUCAUGGCACACUGUCUUUAUACGAUCAGCCAUGGAUACCACCAGACACCCAAAGUCCAUUUCUUAGUUCCUGUGACCUCUUGUAAGCGCCGUUGAUUUCCUGAUGUCUUGAUAGCAUUUGAUCAACAUGUCCUUGAGAAGUGUAACCCUGCUUGGAAAGAAGGUGCAACACCCAUGUGUCCUGAUUCAACCGACCCUUGAUUGAUGAUCAAUGAAUUAAUGUCCCACUUCAAUAUGAAGGGACAGAGGAGUGAACAUGCCUUUGCUACCACUCGUGUGUUCUCCAUUGUAAUUGGCAAGUAAAUGUGAGCAGUUGAGACAUUUGACAUAGACAAUGAGACAUUUUUUGUAGAUUUUACUGUGCGUUUCUGUUCUGUCGUGUCCUG